rnacentral:rRNA from 1 species
UUAAUUCGAUGAUACGCGAAGAACUUACCGGGUUUGACAUGCAGGUGAUCGCCGUUGAAAGACGGUUCCUCUUCGGAGGCACCUGCACAGGUGCUGCAUGGCUGUCGUCAGCUCGUGUCGUGAGAUGUUGGGUUAAGUCCCGCAACGAGCGCAACCCUUAUCCCCAGUUGCCAUCAGGUAAAGCUGGGAACUCUGGGGGGACUGCCGGUGAUAAACCGGAGGAAGGCGGGGAUGACGUCAAGUCCUCAUGGCCCUUACAUCCCGGGCUACACACGUGCUACAAUGGCAGGUACAGAGGGCUGCGAAGCCGCGAGGUGGAGCGAAUCCCAGAAAACCUGUCUCAGUCCGGAUUGAAGUCUGCAACUCGACUGCGUGAAGUCGGAAUCGCUAGUAAUCGUGAAUCAGAAUGUCACGGUGAAUACGUUCCCGGGCCUU